AUUGAACGCUGGCGGAAUGCUUUACACAUGCAAGUCGAACGGCAGCACGGGUGCUUGCACCUGGUGGCGAGUGGCGAACGGGUGAGUAAUAUAUCGGAACGUAUCCAAUAAUGGGGGAUAACUAAUCGAAAGGUUGUCUAAUACCUCAUACGCCCUACGGGGGAAAGCUAGGGACCUUCGGGCCUGGCGUUAAUGGAGCGGCCGAUAUCUGAUUAGCUAGUUGGUGGGGUAAUGGCCUACCAAGGCGACGAUCAGUAGCUGGUCUGAGAGGACGACCAGCCACACUGGAACUGAGACACGGUCCAGACUCCUACGGGAGGCAGCAGUGGGGAAUUUUGGACAAUGGGCGCAAGCCUGAUCCAGCCAUUCCGCGUGAGUGAAGAAGGCCUUCGGGUUGUAAAGCUCUUUCGCAAGGGAAGAAAACUUAUCCUCUAACAUAGGAUGAGGUUGACGGUACCUUGAUAAGAAGCACCGGCUAACUACGUGCCAGCAGCCGCAGUAACAC
rnacentral:rRNA from 1 species